CAUGGUCUUAUGCACAAACAAAGAUGUUUCUGCUUUCCUUUAUUUCUGUAAUCAGUUGUAGGGAAAAUUUUGUGAAGUCACACCACUCAGCUGUAUCAAUAGGCAUUCAAACGUUUAAUGCUUCGUACAUCUUAUACAUAACACAGUUUGUUUAGGGGUGUAUACAUCAACGGAAACAUUAACCAAUCAUCGGAGUCUCAGAACCAAAAGUAUAUAUUUUCAUAUAACAUUUUGUAAUGCUGUUAGUUAGUCUCCUGUUCACUGAUGCAAUUGACAGUAUGAGAUUAGGAACCCAAUUAAAAAUUGCAGAUGCUAGAAAGAAUGUCAAUAUUUAAAGUGCAGGAUGUUUAUAAGAGAUAGCGAAAACUGGUGUCAGGCGCAAGAACAGAAAAAUAUUGCAUUUUUUUUUUAAAAUGCCAGUUUAACCCAUUCAAAACAUGAGUAUCUUGUAUUAUAAUC